AACAAAAGUGAGAGUCAGACAAGUAAGUACCUUGCCCAGGCUACUAUCAGAUGAAGGCAGUACCUGAUGUGUUUUUAAGUAUGGAGCGCCACUCAAUGGGCCAAGGACAACAGUGAACUUCAUGUUCAUGAAGUGAGAUAAUAACAACUAAAAGAUAACUUCGUCUUCAUCAUCAAGAAAAUUGAGAUCAUCAAGUGCGGAGUACUUCAAAUUACUAGCAUCAUCUGCAUUCUUGGAGACAAAAACCUGCUUGUUCUUGUCUUUCUACAUGUUCUUUUUGGGUUAUCUCAUCCUUUUCUCUGUUUGCUGAUGACUCUCAAAUUGGUGUCUCCUGCCCUGCCUUCUCCUGUCGGGAAACGCAUACCUGUAUCUGCCUGCUGGACACGUGUACCUGGACACAUACUCUAUAUUCACCAUUUCCUUCCUAGACUGUUUCUCUUCUGAACUCCCUCAUCUCACUGGAACCACCACUCCUUCAAGGAUCCAAGAGACAACCUGGUGGUAAACCUAAACUUUUCCCUCUUUACACUCCACACAUCCACAAGUCAUCAGGUGCUAAUUAUUUUACUUUCUAAAUAUCACUCAAUUCCAUCCCGCUUGGUUUAGCUUAGCUGUACUUUACUCAGACCCUCAUAACUUUUCCCCUGGACUCUUAUAAGGGUUCUCAAUGACUCCCCAUUGUCUAAAAAUAAUGUCCAUGCUUCCUUGUAUGAUACUUGAGACUGUUCACAGCCUCCCUCUCCACCGUCACCUGCC